rnacentral:rRNA from 1 species
AUUGAACGCUGGCGGCGUGCCUAACACAUGCAAGUCGAGCGGUAACAGGUGUAGCAAUACAUGCUGACGAGCGGCGGACGGGUGAGUAACGCUUGGGAAUCUGCCUGUUAGUGGGGGACAACCCGGGGAAACUCGGGCUAAUACCGCAUACGCACUACGGUGGAAAGCCCGGGGACCGCAAGGCCUGGCGCUAACAGAUGAGCCCAAGUCGGAUUAGCUAGUUGGUAGGGUAACGGCCACCAAGGCGACGAUCCGUAACUGGUCUGAGAGGACGACCAGUCACACCGGAACUGAGACACGGUCCGGACUCCUACGGGAGGCAGCAGUGGGGAAUAUUGGACAAUGGCGAAAGCCUGAUCCAGCGACGCCGCGU